rnacentral:miRNA from 1 species
UUGGAUGAUGAAUUAUUUAACC